GAUGAACGCUGGCGGCGUGCCUAAUACAUGCAAGUCGAGCGAACGGACCAGAAUCUCGUUUCUCUGAUGUUAGCGUCGAAUGGGUGAGUGAUACGUGGAACACCUACCUUUUAGACUGGGCUAAGUUCGAAAAACCGGAGCUAAGACCGAAUAAUAUUUUGAACUGCAUGGUUCAAAAUUGGAUGACGGUCUUGCUGUUACUUGUAGAUGGUGACGCGCUGGACUAGCAAGUUGGUAAGGUAACGGCUUACCAAGGCAACGAUGCAUAGCCGACCUGGGAGGGGGAGCGUGCACGCUGGAACUGAGACACGGUCCAGACUCCGACGGGAGGCAGCAGUAGGGAAUCUUCAGCAAGGGGCGUAGGCCUAACGGAGCAGCGCCGCGUGAGUGAUGAAGGUCUUCGGAUCGUAGAACUCUGUUAUUUGGGAAGAACAUAUGGGUAAGUAGCUGGGCACAUCGUGACGGUAGCUAAUGAGAAAGCCACGGCUAACUACGUG
rnacentral:rRNA from 1 species